CAGGCCUCAAACUAGCCCUGUGGCUUCCUCCUGGUCUAGAAAGUACAAAGUUUAUUAUAGGUCAUGAAUACGGUAUGCUUCUGACACUCUUUCUUCCUACUGAUGCCUGGCAUAAAAGCCCUGGGAUGGCAGGCUCCAGAUUGUCCUGGAACAGGAAGGAUAAAGAUUAUGCUGCAUCUUAAUGUACAUGUCUGAGAAGUCCCCACCUGCAGGCUCUGGCAGACAGAACUGCACAAACAGCCUGGAAGAGGGGAAAAAAAGGAAAAGAAAACUGCCUUCCUCCAAAGAGGAAGAACACCAGGAGUCCUCAGAGGCCCAAAGAAUAGAAGGAGCAUAACAGGAUGACACCUACCCACCCAGCCUGCCUCCCCUCCAGAAACACAGACACACGGCAAGUAGGAAACGGAAGGAGUAAGGAAAGAAAGGAUAUUGACUUGGGGAUGUUACAAAAGUCCUCCUUCUUUCCCACACCAUGUCAUAUACAUUUGGCCCCUGUUGUCUGCGCCUCUGGUCUUCUCCUGUUUCCCAUUUCCCUUCUCCAUUUUCAUGGUCUGCCUUCCUCUAGUCAGCCGAUCCACCCUCGGGGUUCUGCAGGCUGAUGACACCCACAUUUUUAUCACCCAGGGCAGACCUCGCACCCCAACUCCAGAUCCACAUGGUCAACUGGUCACUGAAGAGCUCCAUUUGGACAACUCACAGGUUCCUAAAACUCAGCUUUUCUCGACCUGAGCUCCUCCCCUUCGUCCUCCAACUGUUCCUGCCCCCUCCUUCCUCCUCUUCCUCACUUUCAGCCAAGGGCACCAACAACCCAGCCUGCUGCCCAAGCCAGAGCCCCUCCUCUGCCUCACCCCCACAUGCCAUCCAUCUCCCUCCGAAGUGUCUCUCAUCAGCCCACACCUCCCGUUUGCCACUUCUGCCACCCUCGCCUGGCCAGCUCUCUUCUGCAUGACUGCAGCAGCCUCCUACCUGGUCUACCUGCCUCUGCUGCAGGGUGCAGGUGGGAACGGCUCCAACGUACUCUGCAGCCAAAGAGAUCUCCCUCAAAUCUGAGUCCUUCACGUCUCACGGAAAACACCUCAAUGGCUGGCUUCCCACUGCAUUGGAACUUAUUAGGGUCAAACAACCUUAUGGGGCAGGCAAGGCCUUCCACAGCUCUGCCCCUGCCUGCUCCCCCUUCUUCGCUUCUUUGGCCAUAGUGAACUUUUGAACAUUCUCUCAAUGCAUCCUGCUCUCUCUCACCCCCUAGCUUUGGCACGUGCUGCCCCUUCUGCCUGCAACACGCCCUUUCUUCCCCUUCAUCUGGCUGGUCCCCACUCAACCUUGCCUGGCACGUUGGGUGUGUGCAUGUUCUGCUGUCAUACCUGGGUAGGCAGUCCUCUGAUUGUGUCCUACAGUCUGCUCCUCACAUCCAUUGUGGCUGGCUUACACUUGCUUAGCUUUCAGAGGGAAACCUUAUUUCCAAGCCCUUUGUUUGUGUGUGUGUUUACCUCACUGAUGCUGCUAUCUACCAAAAUAAUACCCCUUCUUUCACUUCCUAAAAAAAAUUGGCUAUGGGUGUAUGAUCUGUCUCAUCAAACUGGGUGAUAGAAUGACUUCAUAAUUUAUUGCCAGAAGUAGAUUUUAGCUCAUUUUCUCAGUCCGAGCAUUCCUUUAAUUUUCCAGUGUGCUUUCUCAUCACUGGUCGUUAUUGGUACCCAAUGAUGUGUUGUGAUCUAGUAACUCAUGCUUGUAUCAGUGUUGUCAGCCUGGAUGUCACUUUCUCCAACUAGUGUGACUUUUCUUCAAGAUCCCAUAGCUAUUCUGUCUGAAAUUUUUACCUGUAGAAUCUUUGGCCAUUUCAUCUUUGAGUAGCUUUUUGUUUUAUUUUUAUGUCUGAACCUCCUUCCUUUUUGCUUUCCAACAGAUACACAAGCAGGAGUGUCUCCUGUCUUAAAUACCUUGCUAAGUAGGUUGCAUUGUCUAUGAAUCUGCUUUUCUUUGUGUCAGGAAUGACAUUAGGCACAAAUUAACCUUUGUAUUUUAUUUUUUACUCUUAGUUUUUAACAUCCGUAAAGCAAGUUUGACACUAUCUUACCCUAGCUACCAGUUAAAUUAUUCUUCUUAUAAAUUCUUUUCCCGUCAAGUCCUGGUUAAUUCAUUCUUUUUCUGAGAUUAUAUCCUCAUCUUUAUUAGAUGGUGCUAAAUGGAAUAUUUUGGUUUCACAAGCUAGUAAUACAAUGUUCUCAUUAGUAAAAGAACUGUCCCAUUUCUGAUUAAAGCAUAUUAUUUCUUUAGUAAUUGCUCACUUCAAAUUUUUAAUUUUUAUUUUCCCUGUUUUCUAGAUUUGACAUUAAUUUCUGUGUUGCCCUUUCCACAUGAACUAAUGCCUGUCUCUUGCUCCCAAGCAAGGAUAUAUGUAUGUACUUCCCUUAUUUAGAACCACUGGUCUUCAAGAGGGGUGCAUAGGCCCUAAUAGAUGUAUAAGACGUUUUUUGUUUUUUUAUCUUGCCCUUUCAAAUGAUAAGGUUUUCUGUUUUAUAAUUUACAUAAUGUAUUAGUACAAUAUUAUACGUUUACUAUUUAUGAAUAGAUAAAUAUACAUUCAUUGAUGUGCAUGCUAAUUAUUUUGCCAAUAGAAGCCCAUACUAAAAAACUUUUGGAAACCACUGACUUAGAGUAUUAACCGGCAGACGUGCAUAUUCUAAGAUACAGCAAUUUGCAGUGUUCUCAGAUACUAAGGUCUAGAAGACAUUGAAGUUUUUCUGAGUAAAAUGUACAAUGCAUUCACCAAAUGUUGCUUUUGUAAAUUCUAGAGUUUCAUAGCCCAAAGCAACCCAUAUCAAAUCUUGCAUGAUGAACAGCAUACAUAAUUAAUUCAGCAGUGCAUGAUUAGUAUCACAACCCUACAUUAUUAAUUAAA
ensembl:lncRNA